rnacentral:rRNA from 1 species
CCUACGGGAGGCAGCAGUGAGGAAUAUUGGUCAAUGGCCGGAAGGCUGAACCAGCCAUGCCGCGUGAAGGUCAGUGCCCUAUGGGCGUUAAACUUCUUUUGUGCGGGAGCAAUAAUGGUCACGUGUGGCCAGACGAGAGUACCGUACGAAUAAGCAUCGGCUAACUCCGUGCCAGCAGCCGCGGUAAUACGGGGGAUGCAAGCGUUAUCCGGAUUUAUUGGGUUUAAAGGGUGCGUAGGCUGUGAGGUAAGUCAGCGGUGAAAUGCCCCCGCUCAACGGGGUGAAGUGCCAUUGAUACUGCCUUGCUGGAAUGCGGAUGCCGUGGGAGGAAUGUGUGGUGUAGCGGUGACAUGCAUAGAUAUCACACAGAACACCGAUUGCGAAGGCAUCUCACGAAUCCGCGAUUGACGCUGAUGCACGAAAGCGUGGGUAUCAAACAGGAUUAGAUACCCUUGUAGUC